rnacentral:rRNA from 1 species
UACGGGGGGGCAAGCGUUGUUCGGAAUUACUGGGCGUAAAGAGCUCGUAGGCGGCUUGUUGCGUCAGCUGUGAAAACCCGCAGCUCAACUGUGGGCUUGCAGCUGAUACGGGCAGGCGUUGAGUUCGGUAGGGGAGACUGGAAUUCCCAGUGUAGAGGUGAAAUUCGUAGAUAUUGGGAAGAACACCGGUGGCGAAGGCGGCCUGCUGGGCAGUAGCUGACACUGAGGCGCGGACAGCGUGGGGAGCAAACAGG